UUUUAAACUUUGAUGAUGUGUAGGGUGUUUUUGUUUGUCUAUGCAUUUCCCAAGUGAACUUGAGUACUUUUGGUUUUUCUAUUGAUCUUUUGUUUAUGGUUACUAUUGAGUUGUAUAGUAAUUGCAUGAUAGUUAUAACAUAAACAACCUAUAUAUAUAAACUUGAACACAAGUGCUUAUUAUCUAACUCAUUACUAAAUUGUUGUAAUUUGGUUACUCUUGAUUUACUAAUAAUUGAAGAUUAAAAAAAGUUAUGAACAUUUUCACUAUGAGCAAGAAAUAAACUCUUUAUGUUGCUAAUGAAAUUAUCUUGAUUUAUAGGAAGCUCUGAUAAAUCAUCAAUUUAAGCAAUUGUUUUGGCCUUGUUAUAGUUGUGAAUUCUAUUUGGUUUGUUAUCUAUUUGGUUUUUGACUUUAAGUUUUUUAAACUUAAGCCUAUACACGUUUUUUUUACCUCUACUUUUUAUUAAUGUUUUUAAAAUUAGGCCAAAUUAGUGUUUCUGAAACUGUCAUUAUUAUAUGUGCUAUAAGUCUUAAAGAAGUUACUCGUACAGAGAGAGAAGCAUUACAUGCUAGAAAACAAAGAUUCUAGUGACGCCCAUUAUAUAGUUCCAGACUUGGAGAGUUGGUUACACAGAAAGAAAAUUAGCAAAGACAGUGCAAGCGUUGGAGAUGAGCCCAUUUUUAAGGGGUCGUUUGAAACACAAAGGAAGAGACAAGAAUACGAAGGCUUUCUACCCUUUAUUUUGCAUUGGUAUGAUUGGGACGUGGUGCAAAUAGUGGAUAUAUGUACGUACGGUCUGUGCAAAGAAAAAAAAUUGCUUUCUCGUAUGUUUGUAAGAAAUGGUUUAUAUUAUUUAAACUAUAAUUUCUAUUGUCAUCGCUAUUGCUUAAACAACUGUGAAGACAAAAAAAAGAGGAAUGGGUAAAGUUAACUUUCGUUGGCAUAAA